UCAUCUUGACAUGGUGUAACACGAACCUGAAUUUCUCAUUUGGACCCACUCGGACACCUCACCAAGUUGGGAUAUUUCGAAAGUAUACCUAUUUGUCUACCAUUCUACUUCAUCUCAACGUGUUAGCUUAUGUAACUCUUUGUAAAACUCAUUCUGAAAAUUUUGAAACUUAUUAAUUUGUAUAGACUUGAACAUAAUGUUCAAGAUCACUUGUUUUCAGCACUGAAUGAGGCCAGGCCUGCUUGCUUUGUUGCUUUUUUAACCCCCAGAACCCGUGGACAGAAGAGGAAGAGCGACGACUUGGGUGCGGCUGCGAAGUCUGCCUGCCCAACGCCAAUUGCUCCUCACCCAAAAACGCACCCCAUUGACGAAGAUCAUCCUUGUAUAGACGAUGAUAAAUACUCUCAUCUGACAAGAACACGUCAUCAGAAGUCACUGCCUGCUGCGAAUAACAGCGCAUCGUGUAUGACAAUCUCUUCACCAACAAGUGCUACCCCCUCUUGUCCAUCGUCACAUGAAGAACAUGGACAGCCGCAAGCUGGAAAUGAUUUCUCAACAGCAGAGAAGAACGAUACUU